rnacentral:rRNA from 1 species
AACGAACGCUGGCGGCAUGCCUAACACAUGCAAGUCGAACGAGACCUUCGGGUCUAGUGGCGCACGGGUGCGUAACGCGUGGGAACAUGCACUUAGGUUCGGAAUAACUCCCCGAAAGGGGUGCUAAUACCGGAUAAUGUCUUCGGUCCAAAGAUUUAUCGCCUUUGGAUGGGCCCGCGUUGGAUUAGCUAGUUGGUAGGGUAAAAGCCUACCAAGGCGACGAUCCAUAGCUGGUCUGAGAGGAUGAUCAGCCACACUGGGACUGAGACACGGCCCAGACUCCUACGGGAGGCAGCAGUGGGGAAUAUUGGACAAUGGGCGAAAGCCUGAUCCAGCAAUGCCGCGUGAGUGAUGAAGGCCUUAGGGGUGUAAAGCUCUUUUACCCGGGAUGAUAAUGACAGUACCGGGAGAAUAAGCACCGGCUAACUCCGUG